AAGCAUACGCUCCUUGGAUAGAAACACUGUGUGCACCUGGUGUAGCCUGGCUGUAACAGUUAAAAGAAAGAGUCUGUACGUUCAUUAUUACUUACAAA